GACAGAGGGUGCAAACGUUGUUCGGAAUUACUGGGCGUAAAGCGCGUGUAGGCUGCUCUGCAAGUCGGAUGUGAAAGCCCUGGGCUCAACCUAGGAAGUGCACUCGAAACUGCCGAGCUGGAGUCCUGGAGAGGAAGGCGGAAUUCUCGGUGUAGAGGUGAAAUUCGUAGAUAUCGAGAGGAACACCGGUGGCGAAGGCGGCCUUCUGGACAGUGACUGACGCUGAGACGCGAAAGCGUGGGGAGCAAACAGG
rnacentral:rRNA from 1 species